rnacentral:rRNA from 1 species
AAACUGGGAUUAGAUACCCCACUAUGCCUGAACCUAAAUAAAAUAAUGCCAAAAGACUACACUCAACCAAACUUAAAAGACCUGGCGGUGCUUGAAAUCUACCUAGAGGAGCCUGUUUUAUAAUCGAUAAUCCACGUUAAACCUUACCUUCUAUUGCAACUCUCAGCCUAUAUACCGCCGUCGACAGCCCAUUUUACAAAAAAUGCAGCAAAGCUAGACCCCAACCUCUAAUACGACAGGCCAUGGCGUAGCUUAUAAGAAGGAAAACAAUGGACUACACUACCUUAAACCACCAACACAAGUCCUAUUGAAACCCAGGACAAAAGAAGGA